UACGUAGGGUGCAAGCGUUGUCCGGAAUUACUGGGCGUAAAGCGCACGUAGGCGGCUUUGUAAGUUAGAGGUGAAAGCCCAGGGCUUAACCCUGGAAUUGCCUUUAAGACUGCAUCGCUAGAAUCGUGGAGAGGUGAGUGGAAUUCCGAGUGUAGAGGUGAAAUUCGUAGAUAUUCGGAAGAACACCAGUGGCGAAGGCGACUCACUGGACACGUAUUGACGCUGAGGUGCGAAAGCGUGGGGAGCAAACAGG
rnacentral:rRNA from 1 species